AACAAAACUAUUCGCCAGGGAACUACUAGCUAAUGCUUAAAACUCAAAGGACUUGGCGGUGCCUAAACCCACCUAGAGGAGCCUGUUCUAUAAUCGAUAAACCCCGAUAAACCCCACCUCUUCUUGCCAAUACAGCCUAUAUACCGCCAUCGUCAGCUCACCGCAAUAGGGACCCAAGUAGGCAAAACUAUAAAACCAUAAAAACGUUAGGUCAAGGUGUAGCAUAUGAAGAGGGAAGCAAUGGGCUACAUUUUCUAAACUAGAACAUAACGAAUGGCCUUAUGAAAUCUAAGACCUGAAGGAGGAUUUAAUAGUAAAUUAGGAGUAGAGAGCCUAAUUGA
rnacentral:rRNA from 1 species